rnacentral:lncRNA from 1 species
AACCUUUGUCAACUCUGUAUGCGUUUUCUGACUGCCUGUGUAGUCAUCUGACAACUUGAGAAGCAGGAACAAAGCACUGGCAAGGCUGACAAAUCCUGCAGAUGCAGCAAGGAAGCAAAGAAAGCACAAAAGAAGUCUAUAAUGAUCGAAAGCCAAAGGGAAAAGGAAAGGAUCGUGGCCAAAUAGUGUCAAAUACCUGCUCCUCCCAAUAAUUUUAGUAGAGGCUCUCUUGCAAGAUCUGUCAUCAAGCAUAGAAGAUAUUGCUACACCACAAAUCCUGAUGUAUUUUCUACCUGCUUUGAAAGACACGGAGAUAUUAAACUGGAUGGACAAACCUGAAUGGCACAAAUACCAGAGGAACAGAUGGCAUGGAAGAUAAGUCCUCCCUGCCUGAACUGGGAAAGGAAAAAGAUACCCGUCUUGAGGAUCAACUCCAAGCAUGAAUUUGGAGUGACAUUCGCCAUUCAAGCAAUGGUUCCAGUGCUCUUCCUCCUUUUAAGGAUGCACUGCUCUCCUUUACUUGUAUACUAAGGCCUGACUCCCUCUCUCUUACUUUGAUAUUACCGCUGGUGACAGAACACAAGCAGUGCUGAAAUAGAGCUUGAUCUUCUAAGAUUUCUGCUCUCUGAGAUAAUCACAGACAAUUCUUGACUUUCAUCUGUGUGCUUAUCAUUUAGAAAUGAGCCAUCGGACCAUGGUAAUCAAAAUAUAGCCUUAUGGAAUUCUGCGUUACUGAGCAAUAUUUGUGUUACCUUAUUGCAAUGGUACGUGUCGGACCAGAUACCUCCACGAGCUUCUCUCUUCUUCAUUAACUGGCAAGAUCUGCUGAUCUCGUGCAACAGGACUCUCCUGCCACCACAUCACCCAGUUCCAGAAGAGGGAUAGGCUGGUCACUAAACAUCCCAUCUUUUGCUACCUUCAGAUGCCCCUUGAGCUCAAGGCAUUGCUGUGGAGGCUCCUUCUAAUAGCAACCACUUAGAAAAUGGAAAUCCGACAAGGAAACUUACCUGUUUUCUCAUAUCCUCUGGCCACAAACAGAAGGAAAAAUAAUCUUAAAGUACUAUCUUCUGAGCACAAUUCAAAUUAAAAAAAAAAUAACUAAGAAAAAAAGAGAUCUCUGCACGUGUCACUGGAAAUAUGAUGUUAUUAGAGAAGCUGACAACCUAUCCACACCAGUGCUCUCCAAUACUGUCCGAGAAGAACAGAGAGGAACAGAAAUAGCAGAGGUCCACAGAAGGGUAAUAAAAAUAACAAAGACAUUUAGCGGCCUUCCACAUGACUGCACUUGUUUCAUUUGGGAAAUCUGAAUUUAAACAGUGAGAUAGUAAAAUUGAUCCUUCCUAGCCUUCAUAUAAAAGCAACAGUGCAACUGAUGAAUUGAGAAGUAAAGCCACUUGCAGCUGAUAACACUUCUUCACGGAGUACACAAUUCACUCCUGAUAUUCUAUGACACCAGUUGAGAAGAAUGAAACAGAGAAAUUUUAAAUACCAGCAUAUUUCCUCACUGUGCUAUUCCAAAUGAAAACUAUUACAAAUGAUAAUCAGAAAGCAAGCAACAAGGCAUCUGGGCUAAGAAAAGUGUCAUCCAAAGACAGAAAAGUGGCAAAAUUACAAAAAGGAAGAAACAGUAAGGUAAAGAGAAAGAUUAAUGAAGAUCACAAUCUAUCCAGACACCUCACGCUUAGUCACAGUGCAUGCUAUAUGUCAUGUGUGUGAAGAAAAAUCUUUUACUUUUUGUAAAUUACAUCCCAGAAUUGAACACAUACAAUGAACAAACACAAAUGAAAUGCAAUGGGACGUAGCCAAGCUACUGGUACACUACUUCACCCAGUAACAGAGCAUACGACCUAUCUUUGGGCACAGAUCUUACUGGGGAGAGCUGGUUGCUGUGAUUUUCAGCAGCUUGGUCAACCAACAUGCUGGCACACUGCAUUUGGGGGGAACAUCUGAAGUACAGGUUCUUAAGUAAAUGGAUUACCAGAAUUUAUGGUAAUACAUCGGUAAUGAUUCUGAAAAACAAGCGUAUAAAUUACAGAGACUUUCUACAGACCACUAUUAAAGCUAGAAAAUCUGUUCUGUAGGAAACCCAAGAUUAAACUUUCAGCUGUCCGAGCAUUUGUUCACUGAGGUGAGCUUUAAACGAGAAAACUGCAAUUGUCCAGUCUCUAUUCGUCAAUGCAUUUCUCCUCAGAGAUCAAAUAGUCCAGAGAUUUUUCAAGACUACGCAGUAAAUAAUCAAUGUGCUUGCUUACUAUACACCUCAACUUCAUUGACUUCCAGCCCUUGCAGAAAAAAACAGCUAUUGUCAUAUUCCCCAUACAUGCUGCCAUCUGUCAAUCGUUGGCUACUGGCUAACACCGGCUUUCCAAAACUUUAUUACCCAGAGGUGCUAAUUAUCCCUAGUGGAACUAAGCAAUAUAAUAUAAAGUUUUUUACUGUUUUUAUUUGGCCAUUACUUCUCUUGAACAGAUUUUAAGCUGUGGGCAAUGCUGUUCUCUGCUGCUCUAUUCUUUUCCUGAGUUCCCACUGGCCUGGUUCUAUUGUUAGCAAAGCAAAGCCAAACCACAAUGAUCAUUGGCUAGAUCAUUUCAUAUAACAAGCCCCAGUUUACAUUUCCUAAUGGGAAACGCAUCUAAUUACCUCUAGGUUUUCUGUGUCAUGGUCUGCUACCAAAGAGUUCUAUUUUGCUCCAUUCGCCUCUUGGAAAUAAUUUAUAGAAAUCUGUUCACUGAUGUUUUGUUGCCAAAAUCAGCAUUCAUUUCCUCCAGCAUUUAAGUCCACCUGUUUGUUGUUUUGUUCUUCUUCCUUCCAAGACCCCGGCUUCUAUGAGAUUCUCAAGUUUCCAUUAUAAACCUAGGAGUAGCAAAUAGAAUCAGCAGACUCUUUACAGAUAAGAGAGCUGGAGGCAACCUGGUACUGCCAUGAGUACAAUACCACCACAGUCAGUGAAGCUCUCCACUCCAACUGAUGCACUGUUUGCUAAAACACAAAGACAUCCACCUCAGUGAAGAGGGGGCAAGCCCUCUGGAAAGGCUUUCUGAUAGCAGAUACUCUGGUGUUCAAAGCUGAACCUCUUACCUUCUGGCACAACCGGCUCUUGACAGCAGAUUUCCUAACAGAUGCCAAGCUAUUCCUAUCAGUUUAACCCCAACAGGACAUUCCUGUUACCCAUAUUAAUCUUAGUAGAUGAGAUGCUGAAGGUUCAGUAGAAAAUACCAAUUAAGCAUUGGUGAUGGGUGGAUGGUUGGACCAGGUGAUCCUGUGGAUCUUUUCCGACCUUGGUGAUUCUAUGAUUCCAUGAUUCUGUGAUCUUUUCUUUGAAGGACUAAUCUGCUGAAACUAAAGCUUCCUGCAAGAAUUGGGCUAUUUAUAGGUAUAUAAGUCUUGCUCAAAUAAAUAAAUAAAUAAAUAAAUAAAUAAAUAGCGUGAAAACAUUUUCUGAAAAUGCCACAAUACCUGUUACACAGAAGCUUCCCUGUUCCCAAACCUUAAUCAGAGUUCCCAACCACUCAGCUCAGCUUUGGUUUUGUGCCUGACAGAUCAAACUCACUGUUUUUCAUAGUUUGACCCUAAUACGCGGGGAAAGGAAAACUGCAGCUACAGAUU